UUUUUCACCAUGUCAAUCGAUUGGUCCUUGCAUGUCAAUCGAUUGGUCCAUUAAAUUUUUUGUUUUAUAUGUUCAGCAUGUGCAUGAUACCUUUCCAAUUACAUUCUUAUUUUAAUUGUUCACAUGUGAUUUCUGAUUUCAUUUACUGAUUCACUCUUCAUAUUGCAUUUACUCUUGUUUUGUCCUUUACCCCUUUUUUCUCCUAUUCCUUC
rnacentral:lncRNA from 1 species